AAAACGAAAUAGAAACGCUGUUCUUUCUACAGCAGUAUUCCUGAGCCUUGACUGUGGCAGUUAAAGCUGAUGAAGCCAGGCACGGGGACAUGCCAUAGCUGGUCUUUGCUACUUUGUGGGUUCUUCUAUUUCCCACCCUUUAUCCUCCCCUCCGCUUCUCCCCCUAACACUAGAGAGGAGAAAAAUAAGGAUUGGGCGGGCCCCUAAAUUUAAUCUUUCUUUUGUUUUCUUUUGACUGUGGCUACUAACAGACCACAACCGUUCUCCAUCUUCCUUUAAUGACCAGCAGCCACCCACCCUGCCUCUUGGUGCCCCAGUGUUUAUAUACCUUCUGAAAAGUUCCCAGAAUUCCAAACACCACGGUUAUAGACUUAACUUUCGUGAGAUAACUUUCCAAUUCUUAGAAACUGGGUUUAAACCUUUUGAAGUGGCCAUUCUGAGUGCCAGGAUUUUUAUGAAAUGAUAGUUUUAUUAGCUCCUGUGUCCACCAAACCUUCUAUUUCAAUAUCAUUUAAUUGCCAUUUUAAUUUUGGCUUCUGAUCAUUAACAGCUGUUUGCCAGAACAUAUAUUUUCCAGGACUUCCAAACCCUCCUGUUCAUUGUACUGGAAUAGUCUUUGAUGUAGGGAAACUAACAGCAGAGCGUCCUGUCACCUGUGUUAAAUUGUAUCUCUUUUCACAUAGGCUGGAAUUUUAACUUCUAUUUUGAAAUCUGAUCUAUAAUUCCUGGAUGCACAAUGAAUCUUUGGGAGGUCAAACCUCGCCUUUGCAAGACCCUCUCUACCGUUCCUGAUGGCAAAGGACCGUAAACUCCAGUAGUUGCUAUGUAACACUUGAGUUUUUCAGGAGAGUGAGAGGUUUGCCUGUGGCCUUUUCUAGAGCAGCACUGCCUACAGUACUGCUUAGUGAACAUCUAAUGCCUAGUGGAGGUUUCUUUGCUCAGCAUGCUGCCCCUUAGCUGAGAUGGCUUGUCAUUUCUGCUGCCAGACCCCAAAGGCCCUUUCCCAACUGUAAGAAUAUUCCCACCUUGGAUAUCUCUUUUGGAUCUGCAUUUCUGAACCCUGUGGCAGCUUUUGCCACCUUGCUUAUACACCCUGGGACGUGUAGGCCUUCUUUCUGCUUGAGAUUUAAGAAAACCAUUGCCCCUAGAAACUGCUCGCUCUGCUUCCCAGUGCAAAGUACUGUAUUUCUCAAAGUUAAUGGACUGGCCAUUAUGAGAUCUGAGGCUUUUGGUUUGGUCACAGUCUCUGCAAAUGACCGUAUUUACCACAGUUGAAGCACAGGGCAUUUUGAUUAUUGGAGACCACUAGCUAGAGCUUGACCUAUCAACAUGCUGUACAUUAGAACCAAUAUGGGUCAUAUCCCUUAUCAGUUCAUCCUCAGGCACUGCCCAUGUCUUUAAUGGUCUACUGUAGCUUUUGUUUAUUUUUGCUACUUUGUGUGGGAUCUGUGUGGGUUCUUUCUCCAAACGGUAUCUUCUCUGGCUAGGAGCAGCUUCUCCGACUCACCCUCCUCUCCAGCCCUACUCAGUCUUCUCUCUUCUGCAUCACCUGUCUUCUGUGAUCUUUCUCUUUCCCUCUACUCCCAUUCUCUCUCUCCAAUCCUACUCCUGUCUCCUGGACUCCUUCCCAGCCUUUGCUGGCUUUUUAUAUCCUCUUCUGUUCCCAGAAGUACAGGAGGACACCAACACUAACAGCCAAGCAGUUCUAACAGGUAAGCAUUCCCAGAGAGCAGUUGACUAGCGGGGGAUCCUUUAAAGGGCCAGGCACACAAAAGAAAUCAUAUUAUUUCCCCUCUUUGUUUUAGCUACUAAUUAUGCAGUUUUGAAGCUGUUUCUCCAUUCUUUCCAAUGUCUUUCCCAGGGUUCUCAGGUAUCUGAUGUGAUCUUUCUGUUGAUUCCUCAGGAGCAUACGCACAACUGAGUGAGGUAAAAACCUAACAGCGAUGCUUCUCUUUCCUGUAAUGUGGAUACCGCUUCUUGAACAUUUUAUGCUCCUGGACUAUCUCAUCUUCUAGCAUCUUGUGUUCUGGAGUCCCUCACUGAAGUCUCUAAACCUCUGCCCUUGUUCUAUGAGCUUUUGGCUUGCAGCCCCAACUUGGGCAUGCAAGAUGCAGUAUUCAGUAUGGUCUGUCUUAAGUCCUGCUCAUAGGCCUGCUGCUGCUCUGCCCUGUGGUUGGCUCUGCAUUGCAGGAGGCCAGAGUCCUGCUCAUAGGCCUGUCAGUGGUUGGGAGCUGAGUGUUUCUUGCCCAGGCUUCUCUGGCUGGCAGGGGAAGGCAGUGACUUGUCAGGCUCUCCUUCUUUGCUCUUUUUAGGGUCAGUGGCCAAGGUUUUCAGAAGACCUCUCCUCAAUUCACAGCUUUUCAUUUCCUGUGGAAAUAUAAACAAAUUUGUGUCUCCAAUGCAAACCCUUCACUGACUUCCUUCCAUUCUGAUUUUACUACAUCCUUAGAGUGUAUAGGCUGACUUAAUGCCACAGUUUUUUUUCUAUAACUCAGUGUCUCUCAGCUGCUAUUAUUCCUUUCUUACUUUCAGAAAAUGUAAAGUUAACAGAGCACUGUUUAAUCCAUCCCUGAGUCUUUAUUCUUCCUCUUAGUUUUAUAAGCAUUUCUUUUAAAGUACAAUUAAAUCUUUCUACAACUGCUUGUUCUGUAGAAUUUUGUGGUAGACCUGUAAAGUACUUUAUAUUAUAAUGUGUAAAGAAUUGCUUCGUCUUACUGGAAACAUAUGUGGGGUAUUGUUUGUCUUAAUUCCUCCAGGUAUCCCCACAAUAGCCAUUCCUUCCAGUGUAUGUGUAAUUGCAGAAUCAGCUCUUUCAGAACUCAAAGCAGCUGUCCAUUGAAACCCUGUGUAUGAUAUGGUAUGAUGUGAUGUACAAACUUUAGUUUUCUUUUCUUUUUUAAAGAUCUAUUUAUUAUUAUACAUAAGUACACUGUAGCUGACUUUAGACGUACCAGAAGAGGGUGUCAGAUCUCAGUAUGGGUGGUUGUGAGUCACCAUAUGGUUGCUGGGAUUUGAACUCUAAGCAAGACUUCAAAAAGCAAGUUCACAGUGGAACUACUUACUCUUUGUUCACGUCCUCCUGUACUUUGUGCACACACUGAAAUCUGACCAUAUCCCUAGAUCACAAGAUCCAGGAACUCAGACCUAGGCUAGAAUGAAAUGCCUUCUUUGAUCAUUAACUUGUCCCAAGCCUGUUCUUUUCUCCCAAUUAUGUGCUUGUAAUUCAUGAAAGCUCCUAUUCCAACCCAUGCAGCCCUCACGAUCCUACAAGGGAAGGGGCACAUUCUACUCUUAGUUCUAAGUUAUUAUAUCUUUUUGGC
rnacentral:lncRNA from 1 species